UGGGGAAUAUUGCACAAUGGAGGGAACUCUGAUGCAGCGACGCCGCGUGAACGAAGAAUGCUUUCGAGUCGUAAAGUUCUUUUAUAUGGGAAGAUAAUGACGGUACCAUAAGAAAAAGCCCCGGCUAACUACGUGCCAGCAGCCGCGGUAAUACGUAGGGGGCUAGCGUUGUCCGGAAUCACUGGGCGUAAAGGGUUCGCAGGCGGAAAUGCAAGUCAGGUGUAAAAGGAAGUAGCUUAACUACUGUAAGCAUUUGAAACUGCAUAUCUUGAGAAGAGUAGAGGUAAGUGGAAUUUUUAGUGUAGCGGUGAAAUGCGUAGAUAUUAAAAAGAAUAACGGUGGAGAAGGCGACUUACUGGGCUCAUUCUGACGCUGAGGAACGAAAGCGUGGGUAGCAAACAGG
rnacentral:rRNA from 1 species